CUCCUUUGACGUUAGCGGCGGACGGGUGAGUAACACGUGGGUAACCUACCUAUAAGACUGGGAUAACUUCGGGAAACCGGAGCUAAUACCGGAUAACAUUUGGAACCGCAUGGUUCUAAAGUGAAAGAUGGUUUUGCUAUCACUUAUAGAUGGACCCGCGCCGUAUUAGCUAGUUGGUAAGGUAACGGCUUACCAAGGCGACGAUACGUAGCCGACCUGAGAGGGUGAUCGGCCACACUGGAACUGAGACACGGUCCAGACUCCUACGGGAGGCAGCAGUAGGGAAUCUUCCGCAAUGGGCGAAAGCCUGACGGAGCAACGCCGCGUGAGUGAUGAAGGGUUUCGGCUCGUAAAACUCUGUUAUUAGGGAAGAACAAAUGUGUAAGUAACUGUGCACAUCUUGACGGUACCUAAUCAGAAAGCCACGGCUAACUACGUGCCAGCAGCCGCGGUAAUACGUAGGUGGCAAGCGUUAUCCGGAAUUAUUGGGCGUAAAGCGCGCGUAGGCGGUUUCUUAAGUCUGAUGUGAAAGCCCACGGCUCAACCGUGGAGGGUCAUUGGAAACUGGGAAACUUGAGUGCAGAAGAGGAAAGUGGAAUUCCAUGUGUAGCGGUGAAAUGCGCAGAGAUAUGGAGGAACACCAGUGGCGAAGGCGACUUUCUGGUCUGUAACUGACGCUGAUGUGCGAAAGCGUGGGGAUCAAACAGGAUUAGAUACCCUGGUAGUCCACGCCGUAAACGAUGAGUGCUAAGUGUUAGGGGGUUUCCGCCCCUUAGUGCUGCAGCUAACGCAUUAAGCACUCCGCCUGGGGAGUACGACCGCAAGGUUGAAACUCAAAGGAAUUGACGGGGACCCGCACAAGCGGUGGAGCAUGUGGUUUAAUUCGAAGCAACGCGAAGAACCUUACCAAAUCUUGACAUCCUUUGAAAACUCUAGAGAUAGAGCCUUCCCCUUCGGGGGACAAAGUGACAGGUGGUGCAUGGUUGUCGUCAGCUCGUGUCGUGAGAUGUUGGGUUAAGUCCCGCAACGAGCGCAACCCUUAAGCUUAGUUGCCAUCAUUAAGUUGGGCACUCUAGGUUGACUGCCGGUGACAAACCGGAGGAAGGUGGGGAUGACGUCAAAUCAUCAUGCCCCUUAUGAUUUGGGCUACACACGUGCUACAAUGGACAAUACAAAGGGCAGCUAAACCGCGAGGUCAUGCAAAUCCCAUAAAGUUGUUCUCAGUUCGGAUUGUAGUCUGCAACUCGACUACAUGAAGCUGGAAUCGCUAGUAAUCGUAGAUCAGCAUGCUACGGUGAAUACGUUCCCGGGUCUUGUACACACCGCCCGUCACACCACGAGAGUUUGUAACACCCGAAGCCGGUGGAGUAACCAUUUAUGGAGCUAGCCGUCGAAG
rnacentral:rRNA from 1 species